rnacentral:misc_RNA from 2 species
AACGCACCUUGCACUCUUUGGUUAUUCCGAAGAGUAUGCCUGUUUGAGUGUCGCGAACCUCUCAACCCCGCUUCAUGUAAUGUGAAGUAGUUUGGGCUUGGAUCAUGGUCAUCUGUUGGACUCUUUGGAGAUCAACUUGGCUGAAAUACAACAAGCGAAUAGUAACAUGUGCGGCUUGACCUGAUGUUGUAGUAUUCAACUCAUUGGGGACGCAUAGUAUCUAAGGCGCUUUAAUAAAUACAUCAUACAAAUCAGACCUCAAAUCAGGUAGGACUACCCGCUGAACUUAA